rnacentral:rRNA from 1 species
GAUUGACCUCGGAUCAGGUAGGGAUACCCGCUGAACUUAAGCAUAUCAAUAAGCGGAGGAAAAGAAACCAACAGGGAUUGCCUCAGUAACGGCGAGUGAAGCGGCAACAGCUCAAAUUUGAAAUCUGGCUCCAAGCGGGGUCCGAGUUGUAAUUUGGAGAGGAUGUUUCGGCCGAGGCGCCGGUCUAAGUCCCUUGGAACGGGGCGUCGCAGAGGGUGAGAAUCCCGUACGUGACCGGUGACCGAGUCCAUGUGAAACUCCUUCGACGAGUCGAGUUGUUUGGGAAUGCAGCUCAAAAUGGGUGGUAAAUUUCAUCUAAAGCUAAAUACCGGCCAGAGACCGAUAGCGCACAAGUAGAGUGAUCGAAAGAUGAAAAGCACUUUGGAAAGAGAGUCAAAAAGUACGUGAAAUUGUUGAAAUGGAAGCGCUUGCAACCAGACCUGCCCGCGGGCGAUCAGCCGUCCUUCUGGGCGGUGCACUCGCCCGCGAUCAGGCCAGCAUCGGUUCGGGCGGCCGGAUAAAGGCCCUGGGAACGUGGCUCCCCUCGGGGAGUGUUAUAGCCCUCGGUGCAAUGCGGCCCGCCUGGACCGAGGACCGCGCUUCGGCUAGGAUGCUGGCGUAAUGGUUGUAAGCGGCCCGUCUUGAAACACGGACCAAGGAGUCUAACAUCUAUGCGAGUGUUUGGGUGUCAAACCCAUGCGCGUAAUGAAAGUGAACGGAGGUGGGAGCCCUUCGCGGGGCGCACCAUCGACCGAUCCAGAUGUCUUCGGAUGGAUUUGAGUACGAGCAUAGCUGUUGGGACCCGAAAGAUGGUGAACUAUGCCUGAAUAGGGUGAAGCCAGAGGAAACUCUGGUGGAGGCUCGCAGCGGUUCUGACGUGCAAAUCGAUCGUCAAAUUUGGGCAUAGGGGCGAAAGACUAAUCGAACCAUCUAGUAGCUGGUUCCAGCC